rnacentral:rRNA from 1 species
GAGCUUGCCUAUAGAAAUUCUUCGGAAUGGACAUAGAUACAAGCUAGCGGCGGAUGGGUGAGUAACGCGUGGGUAACCUGCCCUUAAGUCUGGGAUACCAUUUGGAAACAGAUGCUAAUACCGGAUAAAAGCUACUUUCGCAUGAAAGAAGUUUAAAAGGCGGCGUAAGCUGUCGCUAAAGGAUGGACCUGCGAUGCAUUAGCUAGUUGGUAAGGUAACGGCUUACCAAGGCGAUGAUGCAUAGCCGAGUUGAGAGACUGAUCGGCCACAUUGGGACUGAGACACGGCCCAAACUCCUACGGGAGGCAGCAGUAGGGAAUCUUCCACAAUGGACGAAAGUCUGAUGGAGCAACGCCGCGUGAGUGAAGAAGGUUUUCGGAUCGUAAAGCUCUGUUGUUGGUGAAGAAGGAUAGAGGUAGUAACUGGCCUUUAUUUGACGGUAAUCAACCAGAAAGUCACGGCUAACUACGUGCCAGCAGCCGCGGUAAUACGUAGGUGGCAAGCGUUGUCCGGAUUUAUUGGGCGUAAAGCGAGCGCAGGCGGAUUGAUAAGUCUGAUGUGAAAGCCUUCGGCUCAACCGAAGAACUGCAUCAGAAACUGUCAAUCUUGAGUG